rnacentral:rRNA from 1 species
GAUGAACGCUAGCUACAGGCUUAACACAUGCAAGUCGAGGGGUAACGAGAGGAAAGCUUGCUUUCCUUGUCGACGACCGGCGCACGGGUGAGUAACGCGUAUCCAACCUGCCCCCAACUAAGGAAUAACCUUGCGAAAGUAAGACUAAUACCUAAUAAUUUCCUCAGAUGUCAUCUGACGAGGAAUAAAGAUUUAUCGGUUGUGGAUGGGGAUGCGUCCGAUUAGCUUGUUGGGGGGGUAACGGCCCACCAAGGCAACGAUCAGUAGGGGUUCUGAGAGGAAGGUCCCCCACAUUGGAACUGAGACACGGUCCAAACUCCUACGGGAGGCAGCAGUGAGGAAUAUUGGUCAAUGGGCGAAAGCCUGAACCAGCCAAGUAGCGUGCAGGAUGACGGCCCUAUGGGUUGUAAACUGCUUUUAUACAGGAAUAAAGUUAGCCACGUGUGGUUAUUUGUAGGUACUGUAUGAAUAAGGACCGGCUAAUUCCGUGCCAGCAGCCGCCGUAA